rnacentral:lncRNA from 1 species
CUAGUUAUUCUAAUAUAUUGAUGUGCAAUCUUCAUUCGCGAAAAAAGAAGGAAACAAGAAAGAAUUAUCCACAUAGGAUUGAAAUUAAAUUGAUGGCACCACUGCCAAGUUGAUCAUGAUCCCAUCGGCAAUUCAAACGUACUAGAAGAAAUUGUAGCUAUCCAGUAGAAGUAGAAGUAUGAGUACUACGCCAUGUCCAGGAGUACUAGUGCUUUGUAGCACUAUGCCAUGUCCAAUUAUGUUUAUUUGUUAUAAUCAAGGGGCAGGGUUCGUACGGUCGUCUCGUUUUUGUCAUGAUAAGUAGUUCUUCCCCUUCAAAAACCAAAUCACGUACUGCAUGCUACAGGAAAUGCUUGCCAAGAUCUCAAAAGCAUUUUGAACCCAUGAGGCAUCGAGACACCAGUAUACUCAAGUAACAGAAGUUUUCAUCAUCAUCAUCUUCGUGGUAUAUACAAUCAGGAGGAAUUCAACAAGCAACCGGCAAGUCUCAGCCAUGCUUCCCCUUCCAAACCCGCUCUAUCCUACUACUAUUAGCUAGCUAUAGUAGACAGAGCUAUACUAAUUGGUGCUCCAGCAGCUGAUGUACAUGACCGUCCUCAACCCUCCUCGGCCUUCUCCGCUCUCUCUCUCCGUACGCCGCCGCGGAGCAGGCAGCUUCUUGCCCUGCGAGACGCCGGCGCGUUGGCCUUGGCCGCCUUGUGGANGGACCGCAGCGCGUAGUUCCAGCGGCAGAGUCCGCCCUGGUCCUUGAGCGCCUCCACUGCGCCCACGCUCAUCGCCACCAUCCAAGACGCCUUCGCUGCACCCGCCAUUGGAUCGAUCUCUUCUUUCUUGCUGAGAAUUGGACCGGAUUGUUUGUGAUUUCUUCUUUUGGUUUGCAGUGAACUAUUGUAUGCUGUGUUGAGGAUGAGGAGGAAGGAGAGGGGCGGGUUAUAUAGAGGAGGAGGGCAGGAGGCUGUGGAGAGGAGAAGGACGGGGUUGGGGCGAAACAGGAGGCGCCGCGCGUUGGUUUCCCAGUAUACCGGGUGCUCUGCUCUGCUUGAUUAGGCCGGAAUUCGCAUUCGUCCAGGUUCGGUGGCCCGAGUUGUCUCUGUUCGCGGUAUGGGAGAUGGUUGUCCGUUGCGAGGAGCCCACAUGGGCAGGAGUAACCGAUAAGGACGCGUGUCGCUGCAGAUCCACGCAGGGCCAGUCCUGUAUGGCCUAAUUUUGGGGUUUAUGAAACUUAGACGAUCAGCUGUGAGCUAUUUUUCCUCUCUCAGCAACAGGUAAAACUUCUUCAGAGUAAGGAACAAAGCAAUUCUUUCUGUACUGUACUCCUACCUAUCUCGCUCUCAAAGUUUCAGCAAAAUCUGCCAAAUCUACUACUCCCUCCGUUUCGAAAUGUUUGACACCGUUGACUUUUUAGCACAUGUUUGACCGUUCGUCUUAUUCAAAAAUUUUUGUGAAAUAUGUAAAAUUAUAUGCCNUACAUAAAAAUAUAUUUAACAAUGAAUCAAAUGAUAGAAAAAGAAUUAAUAAUUNCUUAAAUUUUUUGAAUAAGACGAACGGUCAACAUGUGCUAAAAAGUCAACGGCGUCAAACAUUUCGAAACGGAGGGAGUAUAAUAUGAUUCUGGAUCCUGUACUUGCAUUCUUUGGUGAGCGAGUAAACAAGUGAGCAUUUCUUUUCACGCACCAACUCGCAUCGCCCGACGACGUUUUCUUCGGGUGAUGGUGAGAGCGGAGUUGUGGGAGGCUGCUGGACAGGGGAAACCAGAGGCUGGAGCACAUGGUUUUCCAAGAUGUCAGGGGCUUAAUAAUUGCAUAAUACUUCUCGUUCCAGCUUAAUUUAUUGAUGCAUUGCAUUCUGGGUAUGCAAUAGACAGAAGACACCUGUGCUUUUCCGCACCAGUCUGAUGACUCUGAUCCAAUUCCUCCGACUCAAUAUCGUUUAGCACAAACUGGGAAAGAAACUGUAUUGUGAUUUUGCUACAUCAGUUUAAUUUGGUAAAAAAAAGAAUGGCAGAAAUUAGGAUUGGUUGAGUGGUAUAACGAAGGAAACAAGAAGGAAUUAUUCAGAUAGGAGUAUUCAUAGGACUGGAUAAAUUGAUGGCGCCACUGCCUGAUUUUCGUGCGUGGUAAUGUAUUGACAACCUGAUGACUGAUCUCUGAUCAUGAUCUCAUCAGCAAUUCAACUUUCAACGUGGAUGUUUAUUGUUGUAAUCAAAGUGCAGGGUUCAUACUGUCGUAUCAUUUUUGUCAAGAUAAAUACUAGUGGUUCUUCCCCGUCAAAAUCCAAAUCAUGUACAACCAUGAAAAAUGCCUGUCAAAAUCUCUCAAGGCAAAAGCAUUGAUAACCCAUGAGACAUCGAGACAUCAAGUAUACUCAAGUAACAGAAGUUUUCAUCAUCAUCAUCGUGGUAUAUACAACCCGGAGGAAAUUAACAAGCAACCGGCAAGUCUCAGCCAUGGUUGCCACUUCCAAGUUCCAACCUGACUCCUAUAGCAAAGCUAGUAGUAGAAGAGUAGAAGGCACAGCUAUACUAAUUGGUACUCCAGCAGCUGAUGUACAUGACCGUCCUCAACCCUUCCUCGGCCUUCUCCGCUCUCCUCCUCUCCGCCACCGCCGCCGCGGAGGCAGGCAGCUUCUUGCCCCGCGAGACGCCGGCGCGCGCGUUGGCCUUGGCGGCGCGGUGGAUGGACCGCAGCGCGUAGUUCCAGCGGCAGAGCCCCGCCUGGUCCUUGAGCGCCUCCACCGCGCCCACGCUCAUCGCCACCAUCCACGACGCCUUCGCUGCACCCGCCAUCGAUCGACGAUCUCUUCUUGAGCUUCCCGCUGUUAUACUGAUCGCUGAAUUCAGGGGACUAGUAGCGAGCAGUGAAGUACUACUGAUAGGUGAUUGGUGAUUGGUGCUAUGUUUGAUGAGAAUCUGGUGGGGAGUGGACGGUGGGAUUUAUACUUGAACGGGGGAGGGCGACGGGGUCAUUCAGUGGUGCGGGCUGAAUCAGGUGUCCGCGCGCGUUGGUUUUCCCAGAUACCGGGUGCGUCCCGGCUCAGUGGUGGCCCGCCUCGUCUCGUCUAGUCUCGUCUGCUGCAUCAUCGGCACAUCGCGGCGGGGAAGCGGUUUGUCCGUCGCGUCUCGCGUGGGGCGGGGUGCGGGCGGAAAUAAGAUAGGAACAACGUUACGUGACGAGGACUCGUGCCCCACACAACUGUUGCAACUUGCAACAUGGAGUAUGCAACUGGGCUAAUGGGCCUGGAAUUUGGGCCGACGAAGCUGAACGCAGGUAGAGGGCCGAGUCUCACGAAGAUAGAAUUUUUUUCAUUUUUAAUUUUUUUUCUUUUAAUAUUUACAGAAAUAAUCUAUUGGCGCAAAAAAUUACAAAAAUAGACCCUGCCGUCCUAAUGGAGGGCGGCAAGCUGACGUAGCAGACGGCGGCUCGACGGCGCCGUCUGCAAAAAAUUGCAUUUAGCCCCUAAAGUUUGGCUGGUACUUUUUGCAUCUGGACCCCUUGCCGCCCUACUAUAGGGCGGUAAGGGGCCCAGAUGCAAAAAGUACUAGGCCCGGGCUGGCUUUUUUGCAUGGGGCCCCUUGCCGCCCUAAUAGAGAACGGCAAGGGUUUUCGUGAAAAAAACCCUCCCUCCCCCGUCUGUCGUCACCGCCCGUCCCUCCCUCGUUUGCCACGUCAGCUUGCCGCUCUAGUGGAGGGCGGCAGGGUCUAUUUUUGUAAUUUUUUACGCUGAUGGAUUAUUUCUGUAAAUAUUAAAAGAAAAAAAUUUAAAAAUAAAAAAAAUUCCACGAAGAUAUACAAGUGCCCUAUUGUGUCAAGCUUUUCGAUGCACAUGUCACACUCCAGUAAUCACGCGGUCGACACGAGGGAAUAUCCGUGUGAUUUUGGCUGCGCUCCCGGCUGUCGGCCUGUACGGCUGUGUGAUCUCCGAUCCGGGUGCUGGAAAUGCAGCGUUCUGCUUGAGUCAUUUUCUGUGUGCUAUAGGCAAUUGCCAAUUGACAUGAGCUUACUUGGUUCACUUGAUUUCUUCGUGCCUUGCACGCCGCCACUGCGAAGGUAAUGGAUUUUUCAGAGACUCGGAGUAUUGCGUUGAUUGGUGGCUUAAAAGUUUUAACUAUCGUUUGGUUCGGGUCAGGUGCGUUAAUUUGUUUAGCUGGCUAUUGGUAAAGUCGGAUCUGUGACAGAAGCACAUGAGUUGCGACCAGACUGCAGCUCCUCAGAUGCUAAACAAGUGACUGCAUAAUAAAAAUCGUUGGGCUGGAUGAGUUUGUCAGCUGAGGAGCACAUUUUCCUUUCCCUCCUAAAGCUAGCUGUUCGAAGUCAAAGAUCAAAUGCUAGCAGAUUGAGUUGGUAUGGUAUAUGCCUUGGUCCAACACAGUAUGCAUGCUCAUAUGAACUUCACCUCUUUGAGGCAACUGUUUUUCCAAAAAAAUGAAUUUUUUAUUUGCAUGUAAACUUCGUCGAUGUUAGAGAAGCUAGCAAACACGCUUUCUCUUGUCCAUGCAGCAUAUACAAUCCACUCUCCCUUUUCUUAAAAAAAAAAACUUAGUGCAGUAUGCUCAAUUAGACAAUUGAGGGUGGUUUUUGUCCCUCGAAGAAUGGGCAUACACAAUACACUCAUUUUGUACAUACCAAUUAAAAAAAUCAUAUUUUUUAGAAAAAUAAUAAGAUAGAUUAAACUUGUAAUAUUUCACUUUACGGACAUGAAAAUUAAAAUUGUAUCCAUAGAAGUGUACAUAAAACAAAUCACGACUGUAAAUAUAGUAUACACUUUUGAUCGUUAUUGUUUCUAUUUAUAUAAGUCGAAGUCAUUUUUUUUUUAAAAAAAUUAAUGUUUGUGUCUUUGGGUGACGGUGAGCUAGAGCGGAGUUAUGGGAGCUGGUAGGGAAAACCGUUAGCUGGAGGACAUGGCUGUGUUCGGAGUCCAGUGAUGGAAGCCAAUCCCUCCCGUACGGAAAACGAAGCGGUCCUUUAGCGCGUGAUUAAUUAAGUAUUAGCUAAUUUUUUUAAAAAAAAAUGAAUUAAUUUGAUUUUUAAGCAACUUUCGUAUAGAAAACUUUUUAAAAAAAACGCAUCGUUUAGUAGUUUAAAAAACGUGCGCGCGGAAAAUGAGGAAGAUGGGUUGGGAACAUGGGGAUGCAAAGACAGCUGAUGUGGUAGAGUCCUUGGAUAGACCAUGUGAGGCCGGUUUGGCUGUUCAAUGGAGCAUCCUGUUUAGGUAGGACUUGGAUUUAGGGCCUGAUCGGAACUGCUAUCUGCUGCUGCCGCUAUGGCUGUGGCUGUUUUUCAGCUGCUGCCGCUGCAGCCAUUUUUAGCUCUUGCAGCCACAGUUGCUGCAGCAGCAAGCAGUAUCGAUCACACCCUUUAAUUCCAAAUGCUGUGCCGUACGACGGUACGAGGUACGAGCAGGUCAGCGGGUCACCAGUGUUGUGUGAAGCCAAGCUGUAUUCACUAGCUCGGGAUAGUUGGCACAAACGGCAUGAAAAUGUGGCGCCGUAAAUAAGUGAAAUACAGCUGCGUACUUUUUGAACACGCUGCAAACAUGAGACGGAGAAAUUUCAAUGCAAAACGGAAAAUAAAACUGCAAACAUGCGACGGAGAAAACUCAAUGCAAAACGAAAAAAAAAAUGGGAGCCUGUCAGAGAACCUGAGAGCCAUCCUGGCCAGGCGAGGCCCGGCAAGAAACGAUCCUCUACAGCCGUGGGAUCAAAUCAGCCAGUGAUCCGGCCGUUAAUCACGCUCUGGCCCACAGGUCAUGCGUCAUCAACCAAGCUUAAGUGCUUGCCUCCUUAUUAGUCAAGGAUGCAACGGUACGAGCCUAUAGAACAGAUCCCGUUCAAGUAAGGUCGUGCCACGGAUCAUCUGCACAACUCUUUUAAAUCAGCUUUGAUCUAUGUGGAUAGCCGAGGUGGUACUAAUACUAGUCUUUGUUGUCGUCCAAUUGCGUAAUGGGCCGGCCCAUACUGCAAUACAUGUCCUGAAAGGCUUCAUGGCCCACUACGAAAUGCUUUUCUCCUACAGUUUAUCUUACUUCUUCACAUCACGUGGUUUCCAACGUACCCAGUGUUCCCGGCUUCCAGCAUUUGCUGGUAGCACCAGUAGAAGACGCCUGUCUUGUGCUAUGGUCCCUGACUGCACAUCUGAUUCCUCCAAGAUCCAUGCAUGCCUGAUAACUUUAAGUUGCUUCAGAAGAACUUUAAGUGAUCUGUUCGUAUGUUUAAAGAUUCCUUGAUAAAAUAAGUUGCAGUUCUGAAAAUCCUAGAACUUGGAGACCUGGAUGAAUUACUGUCAUCUGAACCAAAUAAGAGAUGGCCUUAGCCACUAGCUAGAGAGACUGAAAUUCAGGGGCAACAAAUCCACGAGCCAACGUGAUCGCAAUUCACAUGGCAAAAAAACCACGGGGCAAUUUAGUAACAAGAAAUUUUCAUCAUCAUCUUGAUAUAUAUACACAUCAAGGAAGCAACCGGCCAAAUCUCAAGCCAUGGUUUGCUACUUCAGCUCUAGCUACGUACUAGUAUCUCGAGUUUAUACACUAAUUAGUACUCCAGCAGCUGAUGUACAUGACCGUCCUCAACCCCUCCUCGGCCUUCUCCGCUCUCCUCCUCUCCGCCACCGCCGCCGCGGAGGCAGGCAGCUUCUUGCCCUGCGAGACGCCGGCGGCGUUGGCCUUGGCUGCCUUGUGGAUGGACCGCAGCGCGUAGUUCCAGCGGCAGAGUCCGCCCUGGUCCUUGAGCGCCUCCACGGCGCCCACGCUCAUCGCCACCAUCCA